AAGCGGAGGAAAAGAAACUAACAAGGAUUCCCCUAGUAACGGCGAGUGAACCGGGAUGAGCUCAAAUUUGUAAUCUGGCGUGCUCCGCGCGUCCGAGUUGUAAUCUAUAGAAGCGUUUUCCGUGCCGGACCGUGUCCAAGUCCCUUGGAACAGGGUAUCAAAGAGGGUGACAAUCCCGUACUUGACACGACGACCGGUGCUCUGUGAUACGUUUUCUACGAGUCGAGUUGUUUGGGAAUGCAGCUCAAAACGGGUGGUAAAUUCCAUCUAAGGCUAAAUAUUGGCGAGAGACCGAUAGCGAACAAGUACCGUGAGGGAAAGAUGAAAAGCACUUUGGAAAGAGAGUUAAACAGUACGUGAAAUUGUUGAAAGGGAAACGAUUGAAGUCAGUCGUGUCCAAGGGAUUCAGCCGGUUCUUCCGGUCUACUUCUCUUGGACGGGUCAACAUCAGUUUUGGCCGGUGGAUAAAGGCUGGAGGAAUGUGGCACCCUCGGGUGUGUUAUAGCCUCCUGUCACAUACAUCGGCCGAGACUGAGGAAUGCAGCUCGCCUCACGGCCGGGGUUCGCCCACGUACGAGCUUAGGAUGUUGACAUAAUGGCUUUAAACGACCCGUCUU
rnacentral:rRNA from 1 species